CCUACGGGAGGCAGCAGUGGGGAAUAUUGCACAAUGGGCGCAAGCCUGAUGCAGCCAUGCCGCGUGUAUGAAGAAGGCCUUCGGGUUGUAAAGUACUUUCAGCGGGGAGGAAGGGAGUAAGGUUAAUAACCUUGCUCAUUGACGUUACCCGCAGAAGAAGCACCGGCUAACUCCGUGCCAGCAGCCGCGGUAAU
rnacentral:rRNA from 1 species